GAUGAACGCUAGCGGCAGGCUUAACACAUGCAAGUCGAGGGGUAUAUGGGGGCUUGCCCCCAUAGAGACCGGCAAACGGGUGCGGAACACGUACACAACCUUCCUCUUGGUGGGGGACAGCCCAGGGAAACUUGGAUUAAUACCCCAUAACAUACUGUGAUUGCAUAAUUACGGUAUUAAAGAUUUAUCGCCGGGAGAUG
rnacentral:rRNA from 1 species